UACACGAGCGGCGAACGGGUGAGUAACACGUGGGUGAUCUGCCCUGCACUUCGGGAUAAGCCUGGGAAACUGGGUCUAAUACCGGAUAUGACCUCCUAUCGCAUGGUGGGUGGUGGAAAGAUUUAUCGGUGCAGGAUGGGCCCGCGGCCUAUCAGCUUGUUGGUGGGGUAAUGGCCUACCAAGGCGACGACGGGUAGCCGACCUGAGAGGGUGACCGGCCACACUGGGACUGAGACACGGCCCAGACUCCUACGGGAGGCAGCAGUGGGGAAUAUUGCACAAUGGGCGAAAGCCUGAUGCAGCGACGCCGCGUGAGGGACGACGGCCUUCGGGUUGUAAACCUCUUUCAGCAGGGACGAAGCGCAAGUGACGGUACCUGCAGAAGAAGCACCGGCUAACUACGUGCCAGCAGCCGCGGUAAUACGUAGGGUGCAAGCGUUGUCCGGAAUUACUGGGCGUAAAGAGUUCGUAGGCGGUUUGUCACGUCGUUUGUGAAAACUCACAGCUCAACUGUGAGCCUGCAGGCGAUACGGGCAGACUUGAGUACUGCAGGGGAGACUGGAAUUCCUGGUGUAGCGGUGAAAUGCGCAGAUAUCAGGAGGAACACCGGUGGCGAAGGCGGGUCUCUGGGCAGUAACUGACGCUGAGGAACGAAAGCGUGGGUAGCGAACAGGAUUAGAUACCCU
rnacentral:rRNA from 1 species